rnacentral:rRNA from 1 species
GACGAACGCUGGCGGCGUGCUUAACACAUGCAAGUCGAACGGAAAGGCCCUGCUUUUGUGGGGUGCUCGAGUGGCGAACGGGUGAGUAACACGUGAGUAACCUGCCCUUGACUUUGGGAUAACUUCAGGAAACUGGGGCUAAUACCGGAUAGGAGCUCCUGCUGCAUGGUGGGGGUUGGAAAGUUUCGGCGGUUGGGGAUGGACUCGCGGCUUAUCAGCUUGUUGGUGGGGUAGUGGCUUACCAAGGUUUUGACGGGUAGCCGGCCUGGGAGGGUGACCGGCCACAUUGGGACUGAGAUACGGCCCAGACUCCUACGGGAGGCAGCAGUGGGGAAUAUUGCACAAUGGGCGGAAGCCUGAUGCAGCAACGCCGCGUGCGGGAUGACGGCCUUCGGGUUGUAAACCGCUUUCGCCUGUGACGAAGCGUGAGUGACGGUAAUGGGUAAAGAAGCACCGGCUAACUACGUG